rnacentral:rRNA from 1 species
GAUGAACGCUGGCGGCGUGCCUAAUACAUGCAAGUCGAGCGAACGGACGAGAAGCUUGCUUCUCUGAUGUUAGCGGCGGACGGGUGAGUAACACGUGGAUAACCUACCUAUAAGACUGGGAUAACUUCGGGAAACCGGAGCUAAUACCGGAUGAUAUUUUGAACCGCAUGGUUCAAUGGUGAAAGACGGUCUUGCUGUCACUUAUAGAUGGAUCCGCGCUGCAUUAGCUAGUUGGUAAGGUAACGGCUUACCAAGGCGACGAUGCGUAGCCGACCUGAGAGGGUGAUCGGCCACACUGGAACUGAGACACGGUCCAGACUCCUACGGGAGGCAGCAGUAGGGAAUCUUCCGCAAUGGGCGAAAGCCUGACGGAGCAACGCCGCGUGAGUGAUGAAGGUCUUCGGAUCGUAAAACUCUGUUAUUAGGGAAGAACAUAUGUGUAAGUAACUGUGCACAUCUUGACGGUACCUAAUCAGAAAGCCACGGCUAACUACGUG